CAAGAAUGAAGCAAGGAAAACAAUUGUAAGUACAUCUUCUCUCUUUGUAUCAGUUACGGUUUUUGUCAGUUAAGUUUUUCAAUCAUCAGCCCGUAAUCGACCACUGCUGGGCAUAGGCCUUUCCCAAGGAGCGCCACAACAGCCAGUCCUCGGCCAUCCUCACCCAGCCACUACCGGCCAGCGAGCCGGAGGGCGACCCACGCUACGUUUGCCUGUUCCUCCGUGAUUAUGAUGAUCGGUGAAACUGAUGAUGAAGUCCAGAGUUUACCUCUGUGAUAUAGUAAUUAAAGGCAAAUAUAACAUCAAAAGACAAAUAUAAUGUUAGUGACGUCCUCCAUUUAAUUAAUUUUAUUAUUUUAAGGAUGGAGAAAAAACAUGGCUGCCCAUCUACUGUGGCGGUAGCGCCUCGCCAAUCAGAAGAUGAAAAUGAUGAGUCGAAGAGGAGACGUAUUCAAAUUACAGCAACGUGUUCAACCUUUCCAUCAAAGCACGAAGAGCAUGAAAAUGUUAAGCAUUCGAAGUCACCGAGUCAAUUAUUAGAAGGCUCUACAAAUGAAGAAAAUAAUAUGUUACUG